rnacentral:rRNA from 1 species
UGGGGAAUUUUGGACAAUGGGCGAAAGCCUGAUCCAGCAAUGCCGCGUGUGUGAAGAAGGCCUUCGGGUUGUAAAGCACUUUUGUCCGGAAAGAAAUCCUUGGCUCUAAUACAGUCGGGGGAUGACGGUACCGGAAGAAUAAGCACCGGCUAACUACGUGCCAGCAGCCGCGGUAAUACGUAGGGUGCAAGCGUUAAUCGGAAUUACUGGGCGUAAAGCGUGCGCAGGCGGUUUGCUAAGACCGAUNUGAAUCCCCGGGCUCAACCUGGGAACUGCAUUGGUGACUGGCAGGCUAGAGUAUGGCAGAGGGGGGUAGAAUUCCACGUGUAGCAGUGAAAUGCGUAGAGAUGUGGAGGAAUACCGAUGGCGAAGGCAGCCCCCUGGGCCAAUACUGACGCUCAUGCACGAAAGCGUGGGGAGCAAACAGGAUUAGAUACCCCUGGUAGUCCACGCCCUAAACGAUGUCAACUAGUUGUUGGGGAUUCAUUUCCUUAGUAACUAGCUAACGCGUGAAGUUGACCGCCUGGGGAGUA